rnacentral:lncRNA from 12 species
CAUUGACUCUUUUCUGAAAAAUAAUUAUUAUCUUAGAGACUGAGCCUUUACUGACAUCACUAUAUUCUGAUAAUCUGUGAAAGAGAUCUAAUGACUGUGGAAGGUGACUCUUCACUGGACAAGAUGAGAAAGGAAGAGGUCGAACAGACAGAUCAAAUCAGAGGAUGAAGAGGAGAGGUUCAGGAAUCAUUGAGCCUUAGGAAAUUUGGAAACCCAGAGAGGAUACAAAUUCUAAAGUCCAUGGCAUUGGGGCAAACUAUAUUCAUCGUUAUUAUUAUUUUUUUCACAGCAUCCUGAUAACAGUAAAUUCUAAAGAAUAUUGAGAAUAUUAAAGGAGCAAUUACUUGAAGUUUACAACAAAGGAGAAAGGGAAUGCUGUGGAACUCAUACAUCUGCUGUUGGAUACCAGAAUAGGCCCCAUAUUAUGCUGGGAUUGGCUCCAUGUCUGUUUUCUAGUGAAUCUCAGCUGUGGAGAAAGAUAAAUGAGAACCAGCACACACUCGAUACAGCACGUGUAUGAGGAUGACCAGCACUAGGAGCCCAGGCCUCCCACAGUGGGUCUGAGCUCCUCCCCUGCCCACCUGCCCAGGGCACUGAGCUGCAUCCCUGCCAGGA